AAAGCAUUAACACUCGAGUCGCACAACCCUUAACAAUGUAUUCGCUCACAACAGGGCAGCUAAUCAUGGUGUCUAGAAAGUUCUAAGAAACAAGUUAACAGCUGUGGAUCCAAAUAGCACAAUGACCACUUCAGACAGGCCAACAGUCAACCAGGCACCCGGGAGAACACCCUGUCAUGUUCCUUUAUCCUCACCUCUACCUGGCAGCUGUCUCCCAUUCUCUACAGUGAAGAAAGACUGCUCUUGGAACCAUCUGGAUCUCCUACCAAGGUGGCUGCUGCAGAAGACUCGUCCUGGGAACAGGUGCAGCCUAUUUGCCUUGCUCUUGAAUCUGGGCCUACAACUUGCCUUUACCCACAGAACCCGUGUGGCUUUCUGAGGUCUGCAAAUCCAGGCUCUGGGAGAUCAGCUCCCCCUUCCCUCUGCAGGGAUCCUCUGUAUGAAGAAGAUCUGGCAGGUUGGACAGGUCAUAAGUGACCUAAGGAGAGAGAAGAACCGGCCAGCGCCCCACAGGCUGCCUCAGUUACCAGAAAAGUGAUACCCUAGACUCCCACUCCAGUCAGCACCAUGUGGGGGAAGGAAAAGCCAUUCCUGCCCCAAUUGCAUGCAUAAUCACGAACGAUAAAUGGUGGCCCAUAGCUUUUAGUCACCAUGUUUCUGCUUGGCUACACAGUGAUAGAGUCCCGACUUUACUUAUGUGCUGACUUCCUUAGUUUUAGAAAAAGUUUUAAAAUUUAGUGUGUGUAUGUGUGUGUGCAUGUCACAGGGUGCUGGUGGAGGUCAGAGGACAACCUGAGGGAGGUGGCUCUCUCAUUCCUCCAAUGGGCCUUGGGGAUUGAACUCAGGUCGUCAGUCUGGGCAGCAAGCACCUUUACCCACAGAGCCAUCUCACUAGCCCAUUUCUCCUACUUGGUGCUGGGCUUUGAACACAGCCUCAUAUGUUCUCUGUGAGCACCCUACUACUGAGCUACACCUCCAGCCCUCAAUUCUUUUCCUAUUUUCUUUUCCUUUUCUUUUUGAAAUAGCAUCUCUCAUAAAAUACUUCACCUGGCCAAGAAGUCACUUUGUAGCCUUGGGUGCCUUUAGCAUGUCAGAGUCCUGCAUUGACUCAGCCUCCCAUCGAGCUCAGCUCAGUCCUAACUUGUGUUGUUGUUUCAAUUUUUAAUACAUUUUGCAGGCCCGGCGGUGGUGGCGCACGCCUUUAAUCCCAGCACUUGGGAGGCAGAGGCAGGCGGAUCUCUGUGAGUUGGAGACCAGCCUGGUCUACAAGAGCUAGUUCUAGGACAGCCUCCAAAGUCACAGAGAAACCCUUGAAAAAACAAAAAUAUAUAUAUUGCAGUGGUGGAGAUAAGACCUAGGACUUUUUACACACUGGACAAACGUAAAUGUUCUAUAAGUAAAACAGAACAUUCUCCACCCCCACCCUCCACCUGUGUGUGUGUGUGUGUGUGUGUGUGUGUUGUUUUUGAGACAGGGUCUCUCUAUAUCGUCUUGGAUGGCCUCCAAUUCACAGAGGUCAGAUUCCCUCUGCCUGCCGAGUGCUGGGACUAAAGGCUUGUACCACCAUGGUCAGCACCCUUUGAAAAAAAAUAACGUUUUCAUUUAUUUUUUGAGAAUUUUAAGAUAUAUUUUGAUAAUACUCAUUCCACAGCUCCUCUCAGAUCCUUCAAUCUCUAUCCUUUUACUCUGAGUUUUGACCAUUCAUACUCUACCCUUACCUCAAUUUGAACUAUGUUUUGUUUUUUAUUGGGAUAAGGUCUCUGUAUCACCCCAGCCUGGAACUGGCUAUGUAGAUGAGGUUGGCCUCAAACUCAUUUUAUCAGCUGACGUCUGGCUCCAGGGUAAUGAGAUUAAAGGCAUAUGCUAUCACAUCCAUACCUAAUUCAUUCUCAAUCCUUAGUAUACAUGCAGCUAGUUUGCAAGAUCUAGGUAAUCUUUAUAGUAUCCUCUGCAUCUGUUUGUUUAUAAAUAUUUGUGUAAAGUU